ACUGCUCAGUAACACGUGGACAACCUACCCUUAGGCCUGGGAUAAACCUGGGAAACUGGGUAUAAUACCGGAUAGGCCUCGAAUGCUGGAAUGCAUCGAGGCUCAAAGCUCCGGCGCCUAAGGAUGGGUCUGCGGCCUAUCAGGGUAGUAGUGGGUGUAAUGUACCUACUAGCCUACGACGGGUACGGGUCGUGAGAGCGAGAGCCCGGAGAUGGAUUCUGAGACACGAAUCCAGGCCCUACGGGGUGCAGCAGGCGCGAAAACUUUACAAUGCUGGAAACAGCGAUAGGGGGACUUUGAGUGCCAGGAUACAAUUCUGGCUGUCGUCGUGCCUAAAAAGCACGGCAUAGCAAGGGCCGGGCAAGACCGGUGCCAGCCGCCGCGGUAACACCGGCGGCUCGAGUGGUAACCGCUAUUAUUGGGUCUAAAGGGUCUGUAGCCGGCUGAAAAAGUCUCUUGGGAAACCUGGCUGCUCAACAGUCAGGCUUUCAGGAGAUACUCUUCGGCUCGAGACCGGGAGAGGUGAGAGGUACUUCGUGGGUAGGGGUGAAAUCUUGUAAUCCUUGAAGGACCACCAGUGGCGAAGGCGUCUCACCAGAACGGAUCUGACGGCAAGGGACGAAAGCUAGGGGCNAMGAACCGGAUUAGAUACCCGGGUAGUCCUAGCCGUAAACGAUACUCGCUAGGUGUCGGCCACGGUGCGACCGUGGUCGGUGCCGUAGGGAAGCCGUGAAGCGAGCCACUUGGGAAGUACGGCCGCAAGGCUGAAACUUAAAGGAAUUGGCGGGGAGCAC
rnacentral:rRNA from 1 species